AUGUCAUGAUAAGGGCACUUUCGUAAUAACUCCUUGAACCUCUCCUAUGCCUCAUAUAAAGAUUCUUCAUCAAGUCCGCUCUGAUGCCUCAUAUAAAGAUUCUUCAUCAAGUUGCUGAAAUGACGUGACUUCAUUUCAAAUCUU
rnacentral:snoRNA from 1 species